AAAUUUUUCUAUGACUAUAGAUUUUUUUUUCGUUUCUGGUUCAGAAAGCUUUUGAUUAAUUUGGGCUUUAAUGUAUUUCAAAGUAAAAUUACAUGUUAAUACGUAGUAUUAAUGGCGAGACUCCUGAGGGAGCAGUGCCAGUCGAAGACAGGGGCCCCAACACAGAAGCUGACAUAUAGUCAGCUUACAACAAUGUGCCGGUUGGGGUGGCUGAGACGGCACCCUAGGAAGGGACCCGUCAUCAAAAAUUCUAUUUAUAGAAUUUUACAGUAAUGUGCCAGACGGGCAAAGCGAAGCCAUUCAAUACGAAGUAUUGUAUAAAUAGAGAACAGCAG
rnacentral:ncRNA from 1 species